rnacentral:rRNA from 1 species
AGAGUUUGAUCCUGGCUCAGGACGAACGCUGGCGGCGUGCCUAACAUAUGCAAUUUGAGCGACGAACCUGGCUUGCCCUGGGGCAAAGCAUCGAACGGGUGAGUAACACGUGGGUAACCUACCCCGAUAACCGGGACAACCCGAGGAAACUCGGGCUAAUACCGGAUGUGCUCGCCGGACUUCGGUCCGGCGCGUAUGGAAGCUUCGGCCUCCGUAUCAGGAGGGGCCCGCGGCCCAUUAGUUAGUUGGUGAGGUAACGGCUCACCAAGACCGCGAUGGGUAGCUGGUCUGAGAGGACGAUCAGCCACACUGGGACUGAGACACGGCCCAGACUCCUACGGGAGGCAGCAGUGGGGAAUCUUGCGCAAUGCACGAAAGCGUGACGCAGCAACGCCGCGUGGGGGAAGAAGGCCUUCGGGUUGUAAACCCCUUUCAGGAGGGACGAAGGUUCGGCGGUGAAUAGCCGUCCGGACUGACGGUACCUCCACAAGAAGCCCCGGCUAACUACGUGCCAGCAGCCGCGGUAAUACGUAGGGGGCUAGCGUUGUCCGGAAUCAUUGGGCGUAAAGCGCGCGUAGGCGGCCCGGUAAGUCCGCUCUGAAAGUCCAGGGCUCAACCCUGGAAAGCGGGUGGAUACUGCC